GACGAACGCUGGCGGCGUGCUUAACACAUGCAAGUCGAACGGAAAGGCCCUGCUUUUGUGGGGUGCUCGAGUGGCGAACGGGUGAGUAACACGUGAGUAACCUGUCCUUGACUUUGGGAUAACUUCAGGAAACUGGGGCUAAUACCGGAUAGGAGCUCCUGCUGCAUGGUGGGGGUUGGAAAGUUUCGGCGGUUGGGGAUGGACUCGCGGCUUAUCAGCUUGUUGGUGAGGUAGUGGCUUACCAAGGUUUUGACGGGUAGCCGGCCUGAGAGGGUGACCGGCCACAUUGGGACUGAGAUACGGCCCAGACUCCUACGGGAGGCAGCGGUGGGGAAUAUUGCACAAUGGGCGGAAGCCUGAUGCAGCAACGCCGCGUGCGGGAUGACGGCCUUCGGGUUGUAAACCGCUUUCGCCUGUGACGAAGCGUGAGUGACGGUAAUGGGUAAAGAAGCACCGGCUAACUACGUG
rnacentral:rRNA from 1 species